rnacentral:rRNA from 1 species
GCAUAUCAAUAAGCGGAGGAAAAGAAAAUAACAAUGAUUCCUCUAGUAACUGCGAGUGAAGAGGGAGAAGCUCAAAUUUUAAAUCUGUUAGGUUUACCUUAACCGAGUUGUAAUUUGAAGAAGCGUUUUCUGCGAAUUUGGUUAGUUUAAAUCCUUUGGAAUAAGGUAUCAUGGAGGGUGAGAAUCCCGUUCGGUUAACCAAAGCGCUUUACGAUACGCUUUCAAAGAGUCAAGUUGUUUGGGAUUGCAGCUUAAAAUGGGAGGUAAAUUUCUCCUAAGGCUAAAUAUUGGCGAGAGACCGAUAGCGAACAAGUACCGUGAGGGAAAGAUGAAAAGAACUUUGAAAAGAGAGUUAAACAGUACGUGAAAUUGUUGAAAGGGAAACGAUUAAAGUCAGUCGUACCUACGAGUAAUCAACCUACUCGAGUGCGAUUUUGUGGGUAUGUUAGAGCUUAAAAACCUUCAUGCUUACAAAUUGGUGCUCUUUGGGCGUACUUUCUCGUAUGGUAGGUUAACAUCAAUUUCGAUCGUUAUAAAAUGACUGGAGGAAUGUAGCUUCGAUCUCGGUUGAAGUGUUAUAGCCUUUGGUAGAUGUAAUGAUUGGGAUUGAGGAUUGCAACGGAUACCCUCUGGGCUAUUCGUCUGAUCUCUGGAAGUUACUUUGGUGUCGAAAGCGUGCUUACGAUAUUAAGGUUGACAGCCAAUAGGUUAGAACGUGAUUAAAUUCGUUAAGGAUGUUGACGUAAUGGCUUUAAACGAC